ensembl:ncRNA T28D6.12 ncRNA
AUUUCGAGUGGUCAACGAAUGAUAAUCAGUGAUAAGAGAUAGAAGAGACGUAGGUGGAGAGAGAGAAAGAGAGUGAAGUGGGGGGGGGGGGGAGGAGAUGAAGCUUGAACACCUGUCUAUGUCAUGAAGGUGGGUCUAUUGAUACACUUUUACAUACAUGAUUAG